AUCUACGGCCAUGCCACCCUGAAUGUGCCCAAUCUUGUCUGAUCUCGGAAGCUAAGCAGGGUCUGACUUGGUUAGUACUUGGAUGGGAGACCACCUAGGAAAUUGGGCACUGUAGGCA
rnacentral:rRNA from 1 species